rnacentral:rRNA from 1 species
UACGAAGGGGGGCUAGCGUUGCUCGGAAUGACUGGGCGUAAAGGGCGCGUAGGCGGAUGGCACAGUCAGAUGUGAAAUUCCCGGGCUUAACCUGGGGGCUGCAUUUGAUACGUGUUGUCUUGAGUUCGGAAGAGGGUCGUGGAAUUCCCAGUGUAGAGGUGAAAAUUCGUAGAUAUUGGGAAGAACACCGGUGGCGAAGGCGGCGACCUGGUCCGACACUGACGCUGAGGCGCGACAGCGUGGGGAGCAAACAGG